AUGAACGCUGGCGGCGUGCCUAAUACAUGCAAGUCGAGCGAACGGACGAGAAGCUUGCUUCUCUGAUGUUAGCGGCGGACGGGUGAGUAACACGUGGAUAACCUACCUAUAAGACUGGGAUAACUUCGGGAAACCGGAGCUAAUACCGGAUGAUAUUUUGAACCGCAUGGUUCAAAAGUGAAAGACGGUCUUGCUGUCACUUAUAGAUGGAUCCGCGCUGCAUUAGCUAGUUGGUAAGGUGACGGCUUACCAAGGCAACGAUGCAUAGCCGACCUGAGAGGGUGAUCGGCCACACUGGAACUGAGACACGGUCCAGACUCCUACGGGAGGCAGCAGUAGGGAAUCUUCCGCAAUGGGCGAAAGCCUGACGGAGCAACGCCGCGUGAGUGAUGAAGGUCUUCGGAUCGUAAAACUCUGUUAUUAGGGAAGAACAUAUGUGUAAGUAACUGUGCACAUCUUGACGGUACCUAAUCAGAAAGCCACGGCUAACUACGUG
rnacentral:rRNA from 1 species